rnacentral:rRNA from 1 species
UACGUAGGGGGCAAGCGUUAUCCGGAUUUACUGGGUGUAAAGGGAGCGUAGACGGUUAUGCAAGUCUGAAGUGAAAGCCCAAGGCUCAACCAUGGGACUGCUUUGGAAACUGUAAAACUGGAGUGCAGGAGAGGUAAGCGGAAUUCCUAGUGUAGCGGUGAAAUGCGUAGAUAUUAGGAGGAACACCAGUGGCGAAAGCGGCUCUCUGGCCUGUAACUGACACUGAGGCUCGAAAGCGUGGGGAGCAAACAGG